rnacentral:rRNA from 1 species
GACAGAGGUGCCGAGCGUUAGGCGGAAUCACUGGGCUUAAAGCGUGUGUAGGCGGGUUCGUAAGUACCCUGUGAAAUCCCACGGCUCAACCGUGGAACUGCUUGGUAUACUGCGGGUCUUGAGCCACUUAGGGGCAAGCGGAACAAACGGUGGAGCGGUGAAAUGCGUAGAUAUCGUUUGGAACGCCAAUGGUGAAAACAGCUUGCUGGGAGUGUGCUGACGCUGAGACACGAAAGCCAGGGGAGCAAACGGG